rnacentral:rRNA from 1 species
UUCCUGUCCAACGUUAAUCGGGGCAGGGUGAGUCGACCCCUAAGGCGAGGCCGAAAGGCGUAGUCGAUGGGAAACAGGUUAAUAUUCCUGUACUUGGUGUUACUGCGAAGGGGGGACGGAGAAGGCUAUGUUGGCCGGGCGACGGUUGUCCCGGUUUAAGCGUGUAGGCUGGUUUUCCAGGCAAAUCCGGAAAAUCAAGGCUGAGGCGUGAUGACGAGGCACUACGGUGCUGAAGCAACAAAUGCCCUGCUUCCAGGAAAAGCCUCUAAGCAUCAGGUAACAUCAAAUCGUACCCCAAACCGACACAGGUGGUCAGGUAGAGAAUACCAAGGCGCUUGAGAGAACUCGGGUGAAGGAACUAGGCAAAAUGGUGCCGUAACUUCGGGAGAAGGCACGCUGAUAUGUAGGUGAAGUCCCUCGCGGAUGGAGCUGAAAUCAGUCGAAGAUACCAGCUGGCUGCAACUGUUUAUUAAAAACACAGCACUGUGCAAACACGAAAGUGGACGUAUACGGUGUGACGCCUGCCCGGUGCCGGAAGGUUAAUUGAUGGGGUUAGCCGCAAGGCGAAGCUCUUGAUCGAAGCCCCGGUAAACGGCGGCCGUAACUAUAACGGUCCUAAGGUAGCGAAAUUCCUUGUCGGGUAAGUUCCGACCUGCACGAAUGGCGUAAUGAUGGCCAGGCUGUCUCCACCCGAGACUCAGUGAAAUUGAACUCGCUGUGAAGAUGCAGUGUACCCGCGGCAAGACGGAAAGACCCCGUGAACCUUUACUAUAGCUUGACACUGAACAUUGAGCCUUGAUGUGUAGGAUAGGUGGGAGGCUUUGAAGUGUGGACGCCAGUCUGCAUGGAGCCGACCUUGAAAUACCACCCUUUAAUGUUUGAUGUUCUAACGUUGACCCGUAAUCCGGGUUGCGGACAGUGUCUGGUGGGUAGUUUGACUGGGGCGGUCUCCUCCUAAAGAGUAACGGAGGAGCACGAAGGUUGGCUAAUCCUGGUCGGACAUCAGGAGGUUAGUGCAAUGGCAUAAGCCAGCUUGACUGCGAGCGUGACGGCGCGAGCAGGUGCGAAAGCAGGUCAUAGUGAUCCGGUGGUUCUGAAUGGAAGGGCCAUCGCUCAACGGAUAAAAGGUACUCCGGGGAUAACAGGCUGAUACCGCCCAAGAGUUCAUAUCGACGGCGGUGUUUGGCACCUCGAUGUCGGCUCAUCACAUCCUGGGGCUGAAGUAGGUCCCAAGGGUAUGGCUGUUCGCCAUUUAAAGUGGUACGCGAGCUGGGUUUAGAACGUCGUGAGACAGUUCGGUCCCUAUCUGCCGUGGGCGCUGGAGAACUGAGGGGGGCUGCUCCUAGUACGAGAGGACCGGAGUGGACGCAUCACUGGUGUUCGGGUUGUCAUGCCAAUGGCACUGCCCGGUAGCUAAAUGCGGAAGAGAUAAGUGCUGAAAGCAUCUAAGCACGAAACUUGCCCCGAGAUGAGUUCUCCCUGACUCCUUGAGAGUCCUGAAGGAACGUUGAAGACGACGACGUUGAUAGGCCGGGUGUGUAAGCGCAGCGAUGCGUUGAGCUAACCGGUACUAAUGAACCGUGAGGCUUAACCU